rnacentral:rRNA from 1 species
AACGAACGCUGGCGGCAUGCCUAACACAUGCAAGUCGAACGAGACCUUCGGGUCUAGUGGCGCACGGGUGCGUAACGCGUGGGAACCUGCCCUUAGGUUCGGAAUAACUCCUCGAAAGGGGUGCUAAUACCGGAUAAUGUCUUCGGACCAAAGAUUUAUCGCCUUUGGAUGGGCCCGCGUUGGAUUAGCUAGUUGGUAGGGUAAAAGCCUACCAAGGCGACGAUCCAUAGCUGGUCUGAGAGGAUGAUCAGCCACACUGGGACUGAGACACGGCCCAGACUCCUACGGGAGGCAGCAGUGGGGAAUAUUGGACAAUGGGCGAAAGCCUGAUCCAGCAAUGCCGCGUGAGUGAUGAAGGCCUUAGGGUUGUAAAGCUCUUCUACCCGGGAUGAUAAUGACAGUACCGGGAGAAUAAGCUCCGGCUAACUCCGUG